rnacentral:rRNA from 1 species
GACGAACGCUGGCGGCGUGCUUAACACAUGCAAGUCGAACGGAAAGGCCCUGCUUUUGUGGGGUGCUCGAGUGGCGAACGGGUGAGUAACACGUGAGUAACCUGCCCUUGACUUUGGGAUAAUUUCAGGAAACUGGGGCUAAUACCGGAUAGGAGCUCCUGCUGCAUGGUGGGGGUUGGAAAGUUUCGGCGGUUGGGGAUGGACUCGCGGCUUAUCAGCUUGUUGGUGGGGUAGUGGCUUACCAAGGCUUUGACGGGUAGCCGGCCUGAGAGGGUGACCGGCCACAUUGGGACUGAGAUACGGCCCAGACUCCUACGGGAGGCAGCAGUGGGGAAUAUUGCACAAUGGGCGGAAGCCUGAUGCAGCAACGCCGCGUGCGGGAUGACGGCCUUCGGGUUGUAAACCGCUUUCGCCUGUGACGAAGCGUGAGUGACGGUAAUGGGGAAAGAAGCACCGGCUAACUACGU